GACGAACGCUGGCGGCAUGCCUAAUACAUGCAAGUCGAACGCGAUUAGCCGGUGCUUGCACUGGCGAAGUCGAGUGGCGAACGGGUGAGUAACACGUGAGAAACCUACCCUGGAGUGGGGAAUAACUCGAAGAAAUUCGAGCUAAUACCGCAUACCUUCUUACCGUCGAAUGGUGGUUUGAAGAAAGAUUUAUCGCUCUGGGAGGGUCUCGCGGCCUAUCAGCUAGUUGGUGAGGUAACGGCUCACCAAGGCAUCGACGGGUAGCUGGUCUGAGAGGACGAUCAGCCACACUGGAACUGAGACACGGUCCAGACUCCUACGGGAGGCAGCAGUAGGGAAUCUUGCGCAAUGGGCGAAAGCCUGACGCAGCAAUGCCGCGUGCGGGACGAAGGCCCUAGGGUCGUAAAGCACUUUCAGUGGGAAGAACGGAUACGGGCCAAUACCCCGCAUCACUGACGUUACCCACAGAAGAAGCACCGGCUAACUCCGUGCCAGCAGCCGCGG
rnacentral:rRNA from 1 species